AAAUUGAAGAGUUUGAUCAUGGCUCAGAUUGAACGCUGGCGGCAGGCCUAACACAUGCAAGUCGAACGGUAACAGAAAGCAGCUUGCUGCUUUGCUGACGAGUGGCGGACGGGUGAGUAAUGUCUGGGAAACUGCCUGAUGGAGGGGGAUAACUACUGGAAACGGUAGCUAAUACCGCAUAACGUCGCAAGACCAAAGAGGGGGACCUUCGGG
rnacentral:rRNA from 1 species